rnacentral:rRNA from 1 species
UACAGAGGUCCCAAGCGUUGUUCGGAUUCACUGGGCGUAAAGCGCACGUAGGCGGAUUGCUAAGUCAGGGGUGAAAUCCUGGAGCUCAACUCCAGAACUGCCUUUGAUACUGGCGACCUUGAGUCCGGGAGAGGUGAGUGGAACUGCGAGUGUAGAGGUGAAAUUCGUAGAUAUUCGCAAGAACACCAGUGGCGAAGGCGGCUCACUGGCCCGGUACUGACGCUGAGGUGCGAAAGCGUGGGGAGCAAACAGGG